GUACAGAUAAGAGCAAUACACCAUUCGAAUCUGUAAGGGGUCUACUUUUAUUCAUAUACACUCAUAAUAACAACUAAACUUUUUUUUUUGAAGAAUGAAGAAAACAAACAGGGUGCGCUUUCUGUCUUCUCCGUCUCGCGAACUGCUUUUUGAAACUGCUUGUAACUCAGCAAAUACUUCACACAGAGACAUGAGAAAUAUAUCUAUAGAAAGCUUGACAUGUCUACUAUUAAAUGAAAAACGCGCUGAGAGGAAAAAGCCUUGUAUUUACUCCCAGAAGACGCACUGAGAGGAAAAAGCUUUGCUUACCUCACAAACAGAACGCGGGCGCAGCCGGAGCCGGCAGAGGAGGAGAUAUUUUAUACCGAGGACAGAUGAGACACACGUGUGUUUAUCUGGUGAAGAGUGACUGAUGGAGGAAUGCUGCCAUCAAAGCCUCUCAAUCUUCUGUGGUGGAGCAGGACCUGCAAGGCAAGGUGACAGCGACAUUUGUGGAAAAAAGGGAAAACCUGAAACAAAAGGAUAAAGGACCUGCAAUCCCCUGGAUCAACCUGGAGAAAAGAGCCUUGCUGAAGGACACACCAGUGACGAACCAGCAACCUUCUGCUCACCAGUUCAGUGGUUUAGCCCACUACAGAAGUAGUCGUGCUCAUGGAGAGCAGGCACAUGAAUGUUUGGAGCAGACACAGUGGCAGCCAGAUUGUCCUGCACAUGUUCUCCUGCUCUUGUCUCAAGGUUGUGUGGUUCAGGGGUGUCAUCAUGGUCUUCCUCAUCCUCUGGGUCAACGAUGUCCCCAUUGAGAAGAGCAAGAUUGUGAAGCACAGCGCAGCUGCAGAAUUGACACAUCUGUGUUGAGAUGGCAGUAGGAUGUGGCUUCACCGUCUGUAAAUACAUGAUUGUUAGAACAAUAAGUUUGAAUGAAGCUUUGUUUCAUCUGUUGUUGACUUGUAUAUUGUAUGUAUUUAUUGUGAUACUUCCUUUUAUUCAUUCUUAUACUUAUUUAUUCAU